CUUCGACAACGGGAUAUCUCGGGCUUCUCGCAUCGAUAAAGAACGUAGUGAAAUGCGAUACUGGGUGUGAAUUGCAGAAUCCCGUGAACCAUCGAGUUUUUGAACGCAAGUUGCGCCCGAAGCCUUCUGCCGAGGGCACGUCUGCCUGGGCGUCACG
rnacentral:rRNA from 1 species